UACAGAGGGUGCGAGCGUUAAUCGGAAUUACUGGGCGUAAAGCGUGCGUAGCCGGUCAUGUAAGUCGGAUGUGAAAGCCCCGGGCUCAACCUGGGAAUUGCAUUCGAGACUGCAAGGCUUGGGUGCGGAAGAGGGAAGCGGAAUUUCCGGUGUAGCGGUGAAAUGCGUAGAUAUCGGAAGGAACACCAGUGGCGAAAGCGGCUUCCUGGUCCGACACCGACGUUCAGGCACGAAAGCGUGGGGAGCAAACAGG
rnacentral:rRNA from 1 species